UACGUAGGGGGCAAGCGUUGUCCGGAUUUAUUGGGCGUAAAGAGCGCGUAGGCGGCGCGGUACGACCGCUGUGAAAGCCCCCAGCUCAACUGGGGAGGGUCAGCGGUAACGGCCGUGCUAUGAGUGCAGGAGAGGGAAGUGGAACUCCGGGAGUAGCGGUGAAAUGCGUAGAGACCCGGAGGAACACCAGUGGCGAAGGCGGCUUCCUGGUCUGCGACUGACGCUGUGGCGCGAAAGCUAGGGGAGCAAACGGG
rnacentral:rRNA from 1 species